GUUAAGAUUAUUCAGCUCUUGCUCUUGCACUUCGCAUUUUUGUGCCGUUCCCGUAACAAAUGCACUGACGACUUAAUUGAUCUGAUUUUGGCAGGAUUGUUGAUGCCUUUAGACCAUUGAUGGCUGCCUGUUGAAAUAAUACUCAUGGAGGUUUUCUACAGAGACAUACGGACAAACACAAGCAAUCUGUGUGAGCUUAAUCCAUCUCACAUUGAGGUUGAAUGCUUGAUUGACUGAACGGCCACCUGGAUUGCAGUAUAUAUAUCAUACUAUGCGCUAACUUCACUGGAACAUUUUGAGAGGAUCGGCAGGUGGUACAAAUCGGCCUGCUUGUUCAUAAUGGAAGUUACUUAAAACCGACUGAUAUUAGCUUGUUUUUCCUUUCUCUUCGUGUGAGCGCAAACGUGCACAUAUUCGUUAUAAAAUCUCCACAUUUUUGGUGCCUAGGCAUAUUCAUCCGCUGUGUAGAUCAGACUGUAAGAGUGACCACACAUACCCCACAUGUGCUGCUCCCUUGAAAGCUUAGGGACAGCCUCUGAUUAUUUGUAAUCUGUAAAACUGUGAGUGAAAAAGGAUUGUUCUUCUCUACUGUAUCUUGCACCCCUGCAGUUUUUGCUUUAAGCCUUUAACACUAGUAUUCCAUAGCUCUUGUUGUCUUGUUGAUGGAAGUUAAAGGAGAACUGUUGUUGAUCGAAGUUAAAGGAGAACUGCAUAGAGACAGACCGUCCCUGUCGAAAUUGUAUGCUCGAAACCAUACCAAAACUUGUAAACCUACCAGAUCGCUUGGCCCUUCAUUCAAUGGAAUCUUGGUGGUGCGUUUAGAGAGAUGAGAUGAGUUGUUGUAAUUAAGCAUCUUCCUAUACGGUAUGAAUUAACAAUUAAACCCGUUCAUUUGUCAAUUGAGGACAAGUAUUUGUAUAUUAUUGAAAGAAUUGGUCAGUACAUAUCCACGAAUCAAUGUGUUACGGUGGGGGGCGACGAUGGAGGGAGGGGUGCUUUUCUUUUCUAUCGCACCAACAAUUCUUAUGGAGUACAAUCAGUUUCAAAAAAGGAAAAUAAUUCUUACACAAUCGGGAGGUCCCACGUCGCCCGCACCACCCCUCGCCGGCAGUCGUCCCGCGCCUGCGCCACAGCCCACCGCCACGCCACCUCGCUAAACUUUGAGUCGCACCAUAUUAACCAUUGGAUGAACUUAAUAUCACACCUAAAACUAUUAUUACAAUAUACCAUAAAGUUCCAUUAUUAGUGAUCUUAUUUUCAGCUGAGGCAUGCAUACAUUGUCAACUUAUUACUUGGAAGGCACAUUUCAUAUGCUAAGACCCGAUAAGGAAUCAUGCCAAUGUCUCUACUUCGACCGGGACAUGACUGGGCCGGGGGCUCAGAUCAGCAAGUUGGGUCGCGCCUUGUUACAUCUCUAAUAAUACAAGAUUAAUUUAUAUAGUAAUAACAUACUGUACUUAAAAAAUUAGGGGCCCCAAGAUUUUGGCAUCCAUCAUACUACACAUGCACCGUACAAUGAAGAUAAUCAUGUGCAUCUGAUUUGGCGAAUCAACUUGUGGUUGGAUGGUUAGAGGGACUAUGGGUUUCAAAUCGUGGUGCUCGCAUUUAUUUUAGAUUUAUUUCAGGAUUUUCGGUGAUGCGCAUUCAGUGAGAGGAGACGUUCCCGUCAACGAUGAUGUGCCUACGGUGACUUAGUAAAUUUCAAGAUGAUAUGCCGGCUCCGUCUUUGAAAGGUGUUCAUAGGGUAGGGUGUGCGUGUGUGCGUUCAUAGGGGUGAGUGUAUGCGUGUGUAUAUGAGUGUUUGCGUCUGUACUGUGUUAAAAAAUGUCCAUCUAAUUUGGUGGGAGGCCCCGCAGAGAGGGGAUUUACUGAGCGCUAUUUAAGUGUGUCCUUGUACGUAAUAACAGUUCCCUAAACGCACGCCCUGGACGUACGCCUUCCUCCGUUAGGCUUCUUGCUCGAUCGACUUUGUUUUUCAUAGGCUCUUUCCUGGCGCGAAUGCUUCCCUCCCGUUCUUGCAAAAAUGGCGCAUCUCAGCCACAAAAUUGAGUAUGGUGGGAUCCGUGCUGCAAACUGGUGUCGUGCUUCGUGUCCGGGCAUGAAUUCAGAAGCGGUAGGGGGCACUGCAGCUGGGAUUAAUCGGCCUUACCAGAAUCCACCGGUUGUGAACAAUGGAGAUGAAGAGGUAAGAUGAACAAAUUUCAUAAAGUUUAAGCGAUUUUUGCUUGUUUUUUCUCGAGAGUUGGGGUCGUUCUGAUGGAUGCUCGCUGUUGGAUGCAAGAUUUCUCUCGUUCUGAACACACAGUAUGGGAUUGUUGAUAGAGAUUUAUGAAUAAUAUGAUGAUACGUAGAUAGAAGCAUGAUGUGUUGCCCUUUGAUGCACUUCAAACGGCUGUUGGAAGGUUAUAUGUUACUGUCAUGUAGUCUCAUAUAUGUAAUAGUGUGAAGCGUCAGGUUUGACGCAAUGCUAUUCUUCGUGCAUCGUCUGCUGAAUUCGCCUGCAUAGUUCAUGGGAGUACGUUGUUUAUUUUUCCUAGAAUCCCCCAAGAUUUGUUGGAUGCGAUGGUUGACUAGGGAUCGAAGCAUUCAUUCAAAUUGUAGACUUCAGAUUCAGAUAACGUGGCGUAACAGAAUUUCGUAGCAUGUUCAUGGAUGCAAAUGUCGAUGCUAAAUCUAUUUUUCUUUGUAGGAUGAAAUCAUGGAUGACAUUGAAGGUGACACCUAUAUGCCAUUUGUUGAUGAUGCUGGCUGGUGAGAUGGAACCGCGAAGUCACGUCCGUGGCCAGUGAGGUCGCGUCGCGGAGUGGGCGUCACUGGCUACUGGAGUUGCGAUGCGAUGGUGACGGAGCAGUGGAUCUGGUGAGCGCGAGUUGGUCGCGAGGCGAGUGAGGUCGGAAGGAGAGCUCGGGCAGGGCCGGGGAUUAAUGCACGAAUCAGUGGUGAGAGAUUGGGGAUGGGGAUUGUGCGCGUGGUCUAUGCUGCUCGUGUUUUUUCCCAUUUUUCCUCAAUACGAGACGAAAUCUAGAGCGUCAACUUUCCAACGAAUCGACGGGCCUUGAGUGAUAUGGCGCUGGCGUCCCUUCAGACUACAGAUAUGAAGCGUUUACCAUUAAAAUAUUUAGUAUGCUCAAGAGAGUUCUACCAAGAUAUUUAACAAUAUCAAAUAUACAUGAACAUACACAUACACACAUAAUAUAUACAUAUGCGCUAUGCAAUUCAUGCAAUGAUAAAAAAAAAUUAAUUUAACAAUUUGUGCUAUUUUGCAAAAAAAUGUAUAUAAGGUAUUUGAUUUCACUAUUUUAUUAAGAUUACAUAUCUCAAAAGAAGAUAGAACUAGCACACCACUUUUUUUAACAAAAUACAAAUAGAAACCAGCGUAAUGCAAUUGUAGUUUCAAUACAUAACAUCUGUAUACAAAUAAUGCAACAAUUUACAUCUACGAUACCGUUAUAUUGUCAAUUGUAUUGAUUAUGUAAUAGGAAAAGUAGACUCACUAAAAAUUUGGUAUAACAUUGAAAAGUUAUAAGAAAUAUAAAAGUUUUGUAUAAAUAAUAGUAUCAUAUUUAACAUGUAUACUUUAUCAUGUGUUCUAGUUCAACUAACAUAUAUCUUGUAACAAUUGAUAUCGCCUCUUCACGUUUGUAGAAACAAAAUAAACAUGGUCAUUCUACAUCACCAAAGUAACAAAAGAAAAAGAAAUACCUAACAUGUAUAUUGUAAAUCAAUUUAUCUACCUAAAAGCAAAUUUCAUUUUCUUUUUCUGUGUAGAGAUGAACAUGAAUUUCUUAAUCGCCAUGAUUAUAAUCAUAACAUCAAAGAGCGAUGAUUUGUUCGCCUUUUUGAAAACAAGUUUAUGUAAAGCAUUACACGAGAAAGACAUGUUAUCCUUCUAUAAAAUGUAAGUAAUAUUAUCACCAUUUAUAAUAAAAGAAUGUUACAACCUUACAUAAUCUUUCGGGAAUGCAACUAAACUAAGGCAAGCUAAGCCAUUAACAUUCGGUCAAAAUUACAAUAUGUGUUUUUAUCUCAAAAGUAAAUAAGUAAUGUUAGAUGGCUCUUAUCGGACAUGGAUUUUGUGAGCUCGAGCUCACAUGCGCUUUUUGCAAUAGUAAAAUCCAAAAAUACUAAAAAAAAA
rnacentral:lncRNA from 1 species